GACCGCGUAGCUCAGUUGGAAGAGCAUUGGGCUAGUAUUCCAUAGGUCGUAGGUUCGAAUCCCACCGUGGCCG
rnacentral:tRNA from 1 species